rnacentral:misc_RNA from 1 species
GAUGAAGAACGUAGCGAAAUGCGAUAAGUAGUGUGAAUUGCAGAAUUCAGUGAAUCAUCGAAUCUUUGAACGCACAUUGCGGCCAAAGGUAUUCCUUUGGCCAUGCCUGUUCGAGCGUCAUUUACACCCUCAAGCCUAGCUUGGUGUUGGGCGCCUGUCCCGCCGUUUUCGCGCGCGGACUCGCCUCAAAGUCAUUGGCGGCGGUCGUGCCGGCCCCCUCGCGCAGCACAUUUGCGCUUCUCGGAGGCCCGGCGGAUCCGCGCUCCAGCAAGACCUUUCACGACUUGACCUCGGAUCAGGUAGGGAUACCCGCUGAACUUAAGCAUAUCAAUAAGCGGAGGA